rnacentral:misc_RNA from 1 species
GAAAUGCGAUACUUGGUGUGAAUUGCAGAAUCCCGUGAACCAUCGAGUCUUUGAACGCAAGUUGCGCCCGAAGCCAUUAGGCCGAGGGCACGCCUGCCUGGGUGUCACGGGAUUCUGCAAUUCACAC